AGGUAUCGACACAGCUUGGAGGACGUGGUGGUGCCGUGGACAGCAGACCAAUGGAACUCAUGAAGGAAAAUCCAAUCGAGGGGGUGGAAGAGGUGGAGGUCACUUCAACGAUAAUAGUGUUGGUCGUGGCUACAAUUAGCAACAAGCUUUGCCGGGCAAUCCUAUUGUCGUGGCAAUAGUGGUCGUGGCUAUCAGAACAAUUGUAGAGGUCAAACAACAAUUGUUUAUGGCUGUGGGCAAUCGAGCCAAUUCUCAUAUUCGAAUGAUGCUUAUUUGGAUUCUGUUGCCUCCUCUCACAUGGUCCAUAACGAAGGACAAUCUCUCAGGGAGGAUCAUUCUCAGCUGCCCUUCUAAAGGGUCUUUCCAUACUGUUCCUUUAUCUCGGCCACGGGUUCUCCAUGAUACCACAUAAUCGUCCGUAAUUUGGCAUCAGCAUCUUGGGCAUACAAAUAAGUUAGCGCUCGGAGUCCUUAAGUCUAGAAAGUUAAUUCCUAUAAUUUCCUUCAAUAAAUUCCUGUAAUUUGGGAAAAUCAUCUCGGUUACCUUUUUCUUACGUGGACCAUGUUGCAUAAUUUCCCUUAGAAUUAAUUCAUGCGGAUGCUUGG